rnacentral:rRNA from 1 species
CCUACGGGGGGCUGCAGUGGGGAAUAUUGGACAAUGGGGGGAACCCUGAUCCAGCCAUGCCGCGUGUGUGAAGAAGGCCCUCGGGUUGUAAAGCACUUUCAGUGAGGAAGAACGCCUGGUGGUUAAUACCCAUCAGGAAAGACAUCACUCACAGAAGAAGCACCGGCUAACUCCGUGCCAGCAGCCGCGGUAAUACGGAGGGUGCGAGCGUUAAUCGGAAUUACUGGGCGUAAAGCGCGCGUAGGUGGCUUGAUAAGCCGGUUGUGAAAGCCCCGGGCUCAACCUGGGAACGGCAUCCGGAACUGUCAAGCUAGAGUGCAGGAGAGGAGGGUAGAAUUCCCGGUGUAGCGGUGAAAUGCGUAGAGAUCGGGAGGAAUACCAGUGGCGAAGGCGGCCUUCUGGACUGACACUGACACUGAGGUGCGAAAGCGUGGGUAGCAAACAGGAUUAGAUACCCCAGUAGUC